AUACGUAGGGGACGAGCGUUGUCCGGAAUUACUGGGCGUAAAGGGCGCGCAGGCGGAUAUUUAAGUCAGCUGUAAAAGGCAUGAGCUCAACUCAUGUAUGCGGUUGAAACUGGGUAUCUAGAGUGCUGGAGAGGUAGGCGGAAUUCCCGGUGUAGCGGUGAAAUGCGGAGAUAUCGGGAAGAACACCAGUGGCGAAGGCGGCGUGCUGGGCAGCAACUGACGCUGAGGCGCGAAAGCCAGGGGAGCGAACGGGAUUAGAUACCCCGGUAGUCCUGGCCGUAAACGAUGUAUGCUGGGUGUGAGACUAGCGGUAGUUUCGUGCCGAAGUUAACGCGAUAAGCAUACCGCCUGGGGAGUACGGUCGCAAGAUUGAAACUCAAAGGAAUUGGCGGGG
rnacentral:rRNA from 1 species